GAUUUUAGAUGACCAAGCCAGGCUGUGGUGGCAUACGCCUUUAAUCCCAGCACUCAGGAGAUAGAGGCAGGUGGAUCUCGGUGAGUUCAAGGCCAGCCUGGUCUACACAGUGAGUUGCAGGACAGCCAUAGGAAACCCUGUCUAGAAAAGCCAAGGUGGGGAGGGGUGGGCAGUAAAAGAUGUUAGAUUCCACCUUAGGAAGCAUAGCAGACACUAGAGACCCUGUGACCUCAAACUCGAGACAUCUCACACACUCACGCACAUGUCCCUAUGUGGACAACUAAGGAAAACAGACAGGCGAGCAUCUGAUGAUGGGUCAGCGCGCCCCGUUAGAAAACAAAGUGACCCUGCUGACCACAGCCGCUCUACACUCUCAACCUGCUGCCAUUACAGGCGAGGCCGUCCACCUAGCCCGGGACUUUGCCUACGUCUGCGAAGCUGAGUUUCCCAGUAAAGCAGUGGCUGACUAUUUAACCAGACCGCAUCUUGGGGGACGGAACGAGAUGGCCGCUAGGAAGAGUGUGUUGUUGGCAGCACAGUGAGUAUUUGGCCCGUACAGACCCUGGGGCUCGAAACUCAAAAGCUGCUGUAGUGGGCACUGGCCAGAGCUUUGCGGGAAUCUCCAAUAGAGUUCAGAGGAAGGAAUUGCUCCACCCUAGGUGGCACAGAGCUGCUGACAUCACAGCAGUCACAGCACCCUGGUGAUUGACUGCACUUGGGUAUGUGCAAGAAUUCCUGUAGCUCA
rnacentral:lncRNA from 1 species